UUUGCGACUAAAUCUAGACC
rnacentral:miRNA from 1 species